GAUGAACGCUGGCGGCGUGCCUAAUACAUGCAAGUCGAGCGAAUGGAUUAAGAGCUUGCUCUUAUGAAGUUAGCGGCGGACGGGUGAGUAACACGUGGGUAACCUGCCCAUAAGACUGGGAUAACUCCGGGAAACCGGGGCUAAUACCGGAUAACAUUUUGAACCGCAUGGUUCGAAAUUGAAAGGCGGCUUCGGCUGUCACUUAUGGAUGGACCCGCGUCGCAUUAGCUAGUUGGUGAGGUAACGGCUCACCAAGGCAACGAUGCGUAGCCGACCUGAGGGGGUGCUCGGCCACACCGAGACUGAUACACGGCCCAGGCUCCUGCGGGAGGCAGCAGUAGGGAAUCUUCCGCAAUGGACGGAAGUCUGACGGAGCAACGCCGCGUGAGUGAUGAAGGCUUUCGGGUCGUAAAACUCUGUUGUUAGGGAAGAACAAGUGCUAGUUGAAUAAGCUGGCACCUUGACGGUACCUAACCAGAAAGCCACGGCUAACUACGUGCCAGCCGCCGCAGUAA
rnacentral:rRNA from 1 species